CAGAGUUGUGCCCACCACCCUGACACAGCUGGGCACCCGCAGGUCCCAGAACCGGACUGUCUUGUCCUGGGAGCCAGAGGCGAUCAUCCACCCUCCCCAUGUGUACAGAGUCAGAAUGUGACCUGUUCAAACAAAAUGUUUUCUUACAGGAAGAGCUGUUGCUAACGUACCGGUGUGUCCACUCAGGGCAUGAAGGCCCUGUCCUCUCUGACAGUCUGUUGUGUAGAUGUUGCAGUCUCCAGCCCCGGCACUGAUCAAGAUGGAUCCUCCACUCUCAGGGCCCUCCAUGAAAGCCAGGUCCCUGAUGGUACCGUCAUGCAUGCUAAACUCCAGGAACUGGGGACUCGCUGAGGGAAGGCAAGCUGGGGUUCCCGGUCCUUAACGGGGUGCUGCUCACUCCCCCUCCUGGCUUGUCCUUUGGCGGCCUGGUGUCUGGGGUGUGGUGGGUGUUGGUGGUUCUAGGACUGGAAGUGCUGGUGUUCCCUGUCAGUCCGUUCCACUGCCGGCCUAGAUGUGUCAUCCCCUCAUCUCCUCUGUGGUCAAUGCCCACAUUCAUCUCCUCCAACUUCUGAAUGGAUCUAGACAAAAGCAAGAUCUCUUUGUCUGCACAAGAUGCUGCUGCACACGGAGACGGUGCCUGUGAUACUCCUGGAUGUGCUCUGUGGAGUCAAGAUGCUGGGCAGACACACAUGCACGCAUAUUCUCUGCUUCAACGCUUGGCAGUGCUCAUUGCCACAACACACACACACACACACCCAAUUAUAAUAGACAAACUCUCUCCCAAGAGCCACUACUGACAACCCUUCAACUCCCAAGGCCUCAUCCUCCAUCAUCCAUCGCAUAAAAAGUUUUCAAGGACCUCAUCAUAUCCAGUGGGUCUACAGUAUAUUCCCCUUCAUCUCUCUCAUCACUUUUCACACACACACACACACACACACACACACACACACACACACACACACACACACAAAACAAUCCAAUCUCAAGCUACUUUGCGCCUCUAAAUGGGACCUGGGAUGCAUAAAGAUGAGCGAUGAUGGAAGCAGCAGGCCAUCUUGGGUGUGAACGCACAUCAAACCAGAUUAUCUGCCUCCAGUGUCCAUGACCUCCACCCUCCUCACUGGGACAGGGGGCUGGAGGACGCUAGUGCCCCUUGGACAGGUGUGGUAGAAAACUGGGGAAGGAUUUAUGAGGCAGUGGUGGUGUGGAGACGAGGUGGUUCAGGGGGUCAGGGGGAAUCUAUUCUAAAUCUCUUAAAUCUGGAGUAAUGACUAUGGAGGGAAGACAGACUGAAAAUCUCACUUUGACUUUGACUCAAGUGACCAGACAGACAACCAUGGCUAUUUCCUUUUACAGUCUUCACAAGAGUCAUGAAACCAAUUCAGCCUGAGCAACCAAAGGGUGGCCCACCAUCUUUUCCAGGGGUCAGAGGCAUGCGUGUGGUGUUGGGUCCAUCCAGCCCUUAUGGAAGAGACGGUUCCCGCUUGCCCUGAAGCCUGCCUCACUCAGCUUCCUGUCUGCAGGGAUGAACUCCGCUACCAUGGCACAGGCUUCCUCGAAGCAAUGGACACGUGCCGUGCUUGGGUUCCAGUCUUUGAACUCUGCGUGGUGGGUGAGGCGUGGCAGGGUGAGGAGGAGACACAGCUUGCUGUAGUCCUCCUUAGUCGGACAGAACUCCUCCAGAUUGUGGAGGCACUUGACUGCCACUUGCAUGGACACUAUGGUCUUCUCCUAUCUGCCACAUGAGUCUGCUGUACAGUCAUACCUGAGGAAGAGCAUGUCAUCAGAGUAGAGUCCAUUAAUGACGCCGCUCUCCUUCUCUAAGGCCAGCAUGCUGAUGUGCAGCUUCCUGGAGUUCAGGAAGUCCAGCAUCACCUUGAUCACCUCCGCCUCCUUGAUGCUGAUUGUCUCCUCUGCCGUCAUGAUGACAGAUCUGUGGUGGCAGUUUAAAGCUGGCUGGAAUACAGACUGAGGGAAGAGGAGAUGGACAUGCUGUUGACAAAGUUGCAUCAAAAAAGAAAAAUGCUUAUGGUUCAUAUUAACCUGAAUUAAAAGAGUUUCAUUCUAAAAUGACUGUACAUAUUCACAAUUUAAGGGAAAUGCUACCUACUUCCAUUAAAUUACUUGAUGUUACACCAAAACAA